GAUGAACGCUAGCUACAGGCUUAACACAUGCAAGUCGAGGGGAAACGGCAUCGAAAGCUUGCUUUUGAUGGGCGUCGACCGGCGCACGGGUGAGUAACGCGUUUCCAACCUGCCCAUCACUUGUGAAUAACCUUGCGAAAGUAAGACUAAUGCCCAAUGACAUCCCACGAAGGCAUCCGAAUGGGAUUAAAGAUUUAUCGGUGAUGGAUGGGGAUGCGUCUGAUUAGCUUGUUGGCGGGGUGACGGCCCACCAAGGCAACGAUCAGUAGGGGUUCUGAGAGGAAGGUCCCCCACAUUGGAACUGAGACACGGUCCAAACUCCUACGGGAGGCAGCAGUGAGGAAUAUUGGUCAAUGGGCGAGAGCCUGAACCAGCCAAGUAGCGUGCAGGAUGACGGCCCUAUGGGUUGUAAACUGCUUUUAUAAGGGAAUAAAGUGGGUCACGUGUGACUUUUUGCAUGUACCUUAUGAAUAAGGACCGGCUAAUUCCGUG
rnacentral:rRNA from 1 species